AUGCUGGGUCCCCUUGCCAUGCUGUGUGCUGUCCUGUUUCCCGGCAGCAGAACAGGGCUCAAGCAGGAUCAACCUGCUUUGUUGGUGGUACACUUGGGCAGUUCACCUUCCCUGCUUUGCCAAGUGGACACCUCAGUCAGCUACAUCUACUGGUACCACCACCAGGAGGGUACGGCGUCCAAGAGGCUUCUCUACCUAGACAUGUCCAGGUCCUAUGUGCAAUGGGAUUUUGUCCUGAAAGUGGACAAAGUUGAUGCCAAGAAGGGCAGGGAUAGCUACAGCUGUACUCUGCCGGUGCUGAGGCUAGAGAGGAGUAGAGAAGAGUGAUGGCGUGUGUACUACUGUGCUGCCUGGGAAUACCACAGCCCUGGUCCACCUCGUAAUGGUCAGGGCACAAGCAGCAACGUGCUUGGUCCUGGCACAAUUCUCAGGGUUACAGAUAAAAGUCCUGAUGAAGAUAUUUCUCCCAAGCCCACAAUUUUUCUUCCUUCAAUUACUGAAAUAAAAUUCCAUAGGGCUGGAACAUAUCUUUGUUUUCUUGAGGAUUUUCCCCCUAAUGUUAUCAAGAUAGACUGGGGAGAAAAGGAUGACAAAACAAUUCUGAAAUCCCAGCAGGGAGACACUGUGAAGACUAAUGACACACACAUGAAAUUCAGCUGGCUGACUGUGACUGGAGCAUCAAUGGAUGAAGAACACAAAUGUAUCAUCAACCAUGAGAGUGAUAGAAGAAAAAUUGAUCAAGGGAUUCUUUUUCCUUCUAUAUACAAAGAUUUGAUGGCAGUGAUGGAAUCUGAAGUGGACUCCCAGAGGCAUUUAGAGACAAAGCAAAACACAGAGGUGGUAACUGUGAGCCCUUUGAUUUCAGGAUCUUUCUUACUUGUUCCAAGGGCAGUGGAGCUUGCUGCUAUUAACUCCACAAAAGCGUCUCUGAAUGAUGAAAAUGAGCAGCUGCAGCUCAUGAACACAUCUGCCUACUACAUGUACCUCCUCCUCUUCCUGAAGAGCCUGGUCUACUCCACCAUAAUGGUCAUCUUUCUACUUGGGAGACCAGCAAUCUAUGCCAAUGAGAAGAGUUCCUAACACAAUGCUUCCCAUUGGCUAUUGUCCUUAAAAGUGUCUGCUGAGGAUCUAGUGGGACUUCUUUUGGAGACUGGGUAUUUCAGUUCACCUGUGUCUUUUUCUACUGUGUCAUUGUUGCAUUACCGGUUUACAAACCACUGGGCAUACAGAAGCUUUCAAUCUGCAUCAAGAACAAAUUCCGCCAUGACUCAGAAUUUGGACCAGAGGGCAUCCACAGGGGCUUCAACACUGCUCUCUCUCCUUAAUGUCCACCAGUUCCUCAGCCACCCUGUUCCCAUGCCUCUGAGUACAGCCAACAUGCAUCUUCUUGUCAUGUUCCCCAGGGGCCCUUUAACCACAUGAUUGCCUGUAAGUCUUUU